rnacentral:piRNA from 1 species
UGCGAGCUUCGCCAUUUUAGA